rnacentral:lncRNA from 1 species
CGAACGGACAGAGUCUCCCCUGUACGUCCAAGGCGUCGCAAUCAAAACAAUACGAGAGGUUCCAAACAGGAACAGUAUUCAUUCACAGAUUGCAUAAGAAAGUAUCAAAAACAUAAACUACUAAGUUAUUACAGCAUUCAACUUAGAUGCAUUUUACAACAUAAUUUUUCUUUUACAAUUAACCUCCCAAUACAAUCAUAAUCAUUACAGAUUCUUUUACAACUUAAACAAAAGUUUGUUCUUGUUUUUAAACCUCCCAAGCUAGACCACCAACUCGGGUACUGCUAUCUCAGUCUCUGGGUAGGACGCUAUCUGCAGAUCUACGUCCUCGCCUUGCGCCGCCGCGCUGCACACGUGUGUACCUGUACCCCCAAAACAGCAACACGGGGGUGAGACUAUUGUCCAUAGUCCUCAGUGGGUUUAGCCACCCAAGAGAACN